rnacentral:rRNA from 1 species
GUCAAAGUUGGCAUGUGAUAUGGUGAAUGGAUCCGGUGAAUGGUUCAGCAAGUCUUCAAAAAAGAAUAGAUACGAUUGCAUUGCAUAUACUAACGGAUGCGAUCAUAACAGCACUAAUGCACCGGAUCCCAUCAGAACUCCGCAGUUAAGCGUGCUUGGGCGAGAGUAGUACUAGGAUGGGUGACCUCCCGGGAAGUCCUCGUGUUGCAUCCCUCUUUUUUUUUUUUUUUUUUUUGGUUAAAACUUUAUGACUCCAUAACUUAUAGACAG